GAUGAACGCUGGCGGCGUGCCUAAUACAUGCAAGUCGAGCGAAUGGAUUAAGAGCUUGCUCUUAUGAAGUUAGCGGCGGACGGGUGAGUAACACGUGGGUAACCUGCCCAUAAGACUGGGAUAACUCCGGGAAACCGGGGCUAAUACCGGAUAAUAUUUUGAACUGCAUGGUUCAAAAUUGAAAGGCGGCUUCGGCUGCCACUUAUGGAUGGACCCGCGUCGCAUUAGCUAGUUGGUGAGGUAACGGCUCACCAAGGCAACGAUGCGUAGCCUACCUGGGAGGGUGAUCGGCCACACUGGGACUGAGACCCGGCCCAGACUCCUACGGGAGGCAGCAGUAGGGAAUCUUCCGCAAUGGACGAAAGUCUGACGAAGCAACGCCGCGUGAGUGAUAAAGGCUUUCGGGUCGUAAAACUCUGUUGUUAGGGAAGAACAAGUGCUAGUUGAAUAAGCUGGCACCUUGACGGUACCUAACCAGAAAGCCACGGCUAACUACGUGCCAGCCGCCGCCGUAA
rnacentral:rRNA from 1 species